rnacentral:rRNA from 1 species
GUGAGGAAUAUUGGUCAAUGGGCGGGAGCCUGAACCAGUCAAGUCGCGUGAAGGAAGAAGGAUCUAUGGUUCGUAAACUUCUUUUGCAGGGGAAUAAAGUGCAGGACGUGUCCUGUUUUGUAUGUACCCUGAGAAUAAGGAUCGGCUAACUCCGUGCCAGCAGCCGCGGUAAUACGGAGGAUCCGAGCGUUAUCCGGAUUUAUUGGGUUUAAAGGGUGCGUAGGUGGUUUGAUAAGUCAGCGGUGAAAGUUUGCAGCUUAACUGUAAAAAUGCCGUUGAAACUGUCGGACUUGAGUGUAAAUGAGGUAGGCGGAAUGCGUGGUGUAGCGGUGAAAUGCAUAGAUAUCACGCAGAACUCCGAUUGCGAAGGCAGCUUACUAAGCUACAACUGACACUGAAGCACGAAAGCGUGGGGAUCAAACAGGAUUAGAAACCCUAGUAGUCC